rnacentral:rRNA from 1 species
UACAGAGGGUGCGAGCGUUAAUCGGAAUUACUGGGCGUAAAGCGUGCGUAGACGGUUAUGUAAGUCAGGUGUGAAAGCCCCGGGCUCAACCUGGGAAUUGCAUUUGAGACUGCAUAGCUAGGGUGCGGAAGAGGGAAGCGGAAUUUCCGGUGUAGCGGUGAAAUGCGUAGAUAUCGGAAGGAACAUCAGUGGCGAAAGCGGCUUCCUGGUCCAGCACCAACGUUCAGGCACGAAAGCGUGGGGAGCAAACAGG